UAUGAUGCCUAAUGGAAAUCA
ensembl:piRNA 21ur-880 ncRNA